UUGGAGGGCAAGUCUGGUGCCAGCAGCCGCGGUAAUUCCAGCUCCAAUAGCGUAUAUUAAAGUUGUUGCAGUUAAAAAGCUCGUAGUUGAACUUCGGGAUCAAUGAGUUGGUCGUGCCAUUGGUAUGAACUGGCUUUAUUGGUUCUCACCUUCUAAUGAACCAUAAUGUCAUUCAUUUGAUGUUUUGGGGAAUUAGGACUGUUACCUUGAAAAAAUUAGAGUGUUUAAAGCAGGCUCACGCUUGAAUACAUUAGCAUGGAAUAAUGAAAUAGGACAUCGCAUUCUAUUUUGUUGGUUUCUAGGAUCGAUGUAACGAUUAAUAGGGAUAGUUGGGGGCAUUAGUAUUCAAUUGUCAGAGGUGAAAUUCUUGGAUUUAUUGAAGACUAACUACUGCGAAAGCAUUUGCCAAGGAUGUUUUCAUUAAUCAAGAACGAAAGUUAGGGGAUCGAAGACGAUCAGAUACCGUCGUAGUCUUAACCAUAAACUAUGCCGACUAGGGAUCGGAUGAUGUUGAUUUUUUAAUGACUCAUUCGGCGCCUUACGGGAAAC
rnacentral:rRNA from 1 species